rnacentral:rRNA from 1 species
AGAGUUUGAUCAUGGCUCAGAUUGAACGCUGGCGGUAUGCUUAACACAUGCAAGUCGAACGGUAACAGCAAGAGCUUGCUCUUGGCUGACGAGUGGCGGACGGGUGAGUAACGCGUGGGAAUCUACCCAGAAGUUCGGGACAACCUGGUGAGAACCAGGCUAAUACCGAAUGUGAUCUACGGAUGAAAGGAGGGGAUCUUCGGACCUUUCGCUUCUGGAUGAGCCCGCGUUAGAUUAGCUAGUUGGUGGGGUAAAGGCCUGCCAAGGCGACGAUCUAUAGCUGGUCUAAGAGGACGAUCAGCCACACUGGGACUGAGACACGGCCCAGACUCCUACGGGAGGCAGCAGUGGGGAAUAUUGGACAAUGGGGGCAACCCUGAUCCAGCAAUACCGCGUGUGUGAAGAAGGCCUGCGGGUUGUAAAGCACUUUCAAUUGUGAAGAAAAGAUUAAGGUUAAUAACCUUAGUCCUUGACGUUAACUUUAGAAGAAGCACCGGCUAACUCCGUGCCAGCAGCCGCGGUAAUACGGAGGGUGCGAGCGUUAAUCGGAAUUACUGGGCGUAAAGCGUGCGUAGGCGGUUAUUUAAGUCAGAUGUGAAAGCCCAGGGCUCAACCUUGGAACUGCAUUUGAAACUGGAUAACUAGAGUUUGGUAGAGGCGGGUAGAAUUCCUAGUGUAGCGGUGAAAUGCGUAGAUAUUAGGAGGAAUACCAGUGGCGAAGGCGGCCCGCUGGACCAAAACUGACGCUGAGGUACGAAAGCGUGGGGAGCAAACGGGAUUAGAUACCCCGGUAGUCCACGCCGUAAACGAUGUCAACUAGUCGUUGGACCUUUCGGGGUUUAGUGACGCAGCUAACGCGUGAAGUUGACCGCCUGGGGAGUACGGCCGCAAGGCUAAAACUCAAAUGAAUUGACGG